rnacentral:lncRNA from 1 species
GUAAUUUAACAAACAAAACAAAAAAAUAACAAAAUCAACGAUCGAUAUUUUCCCUACUCGAAAAUAUAUUACAAAACGUGAGUGAACUUUUAUGGAAUGCAUUAAAGAUUACGAAACGACGAGGAUUGAGUGUUGAGGAUGAUAAGACGAUUAGGUCAGACGAGAUUUUGUAUUUAAAAA